UACAGAGGUGGCAAGCGUUGUUCGGAAUUACUGGGCGUAAAGGGCGCGUAGGCGGCCCGUCAAGUCCCGUGUGAAAGCCCCCGGCUCAACCUGGGAAUUGCAGUGGAUACUGGCGAGCUAGAGUGCGGUAGAGGAUGGUGGAAUUCCCGGUGUAGCGGUGAAAUGCGUAGAGAUCGGGAGGAACACCCGUGGCGAAGGCGGCCAUCUGGACCAGCACUGACGCUGAGGCACGAAAGCGUGGGGAGCAAACAGG
rnacentral:rRNA from 1 species